UCCUAUGGCACCUGCUUACGGGCUUUACCUUGACAAUGUGAAAUAUGACCCGAUUGUUUAAAGAGUGAUUUUGAGCUCGAGUUUUGUUAGCUAUUGGAUAUGUAGGUAUGUCUAAUCCAUCUUAUGUAAAUUGGUACAGUUGUACACCUGCAUGAUCCCAACUUUCAAACUAUCCCAAUGAUUGCGAAACAAUAAUGAUACAAGUUACCAAGCUCUGAAUGUUCUGCUUAGAGUUUCAUUGCAUGGUCACACACUAAGCUGUGACAUGUAUUGUACGUACAUUUUACCGUCCAAUCUGGCUAAGAAUUAUAUAUGGCCACACAUCAGGUCAAGCAUUUAGUAUAUUGCAUGAUUUGAAUUUUCUCUGCAAACAAAUUGGUACACACUAAUUUAGUUAGGCUAGAUCUUCAAUCUGAAAGUUUCCCAUGGUUAGUAUCCAUCAGUUCUUUCUACUUUCUGAUGUACCAUUAUUGUUUUUUCUUGCUUAUUUUUUCAUCUUAAAUGGUUUUGUAGAAACAUACACAAGGGAAGGAGGAAGCAUAAAGUACAGGACAAGGAUCCGAGUGAUGGAGCAGCAAAGUUACUCAUCAAUUAGAUCUUGAUCUCAAUGGUUGACCCUUCUUUUAUUUAUCCAAUAACAAGAUAUGUUUCUAAAUUUCCACUCAAGUGAAUCGUCA
rnacentral:lncRNA from 1 species